rnacentral:SRP_RNA from 1 species
GCCGGGUGUGGUGGCAUGUGCCUGUAGUCCCAGCUACUCAGGAGGCUGAGGCAGGGGAAUCGCUUGAACCCGGGAGGCGAAGGUUUCAGUGAGCUGAGAUGGCGCCACUGCACUCCAGCCUGAAGACAGAGCAAGACUUCGUCUCAGAAAAAAAAAAACAAAACAAAAGCCAGGUCUAUAAACUGCAGGCAAUGAAGAGAGCUAGGGCAUUUUUUUUUUUCUUUUGAAACAGAGUCUCACUUUGUUGCUCAGGCUGGAGUGCAGUGGUGUGAUCUCGGCUUGCUGCCGCCUCUGCCCCCCGGGUUCAAGCGAUUCUCCUGCCUCAG